GGAUAUAGCUCAAUUGGUAGAGUGCUUGCUUAGCAUGCAUGAGGUCCUGGGUUCAAUUCCCAGUACCUCCA
rnacentral:tRNA from 1 species